CUCUCCCAGCCCCGAAAUGACGCAGCCCCCGCUCCGGCAUCGCCUCCCGUCUGGGCUGGCUCCGUUUCAGGAGCUCCGUCUCCCCCCACCCCCUUCUUCCCAGCCUUCCUCCUUCCUCCUCCUCCUCGCCUCACCGUCACUCUCAAACAACCCCCCCCCACCCGACACCCGCUCCCCCCCGCCGCCCCAAACUCCUUCCUCAGGACCGCGGGAUGCCGGCGAGCCCUGGCGAGCGCCGCCGCUCUCCAUUUCCAAGCGGGGAGAGCCGCCGGGAGCGGCCCACUCUGUUCUCCAGCCUCGUUACAUGGGUUUCUGUCUCUCCUCAGCAUCCCCUUGAAUGGCAUCUACUGCACAUAACUUUUCGGACCACAAAGCUGAAACACUUCCUGUGACUCAAAUGGCUCCAGCACAGCUAUUUCCUAGAAGACAUCCUCCCUGAUUUCUUGUGGUGCCUGUUAGAUUGCUGAAGUUGCAGUGCAGAGAUAAACCAGAUACCAGAAUAGAGGAACGUUUCUCAGAAGGACCAGUGAGACAUCUCCUGACCUCUGUCUCCAUCUGAGGAUAUAUCUGGAGUAGAGCAGAGAAGCAGAGGCACCACAGACUACAGAUACCCAUGGGGAAUGUUGUUCUGCCUCAAGGUUCAGCUCUACAAUAUGGCCAUGGACCGUAUAUACCCAUAGGUUCCUGUGAGUGGGUGAAGUGGGUGAGGGUUUAGACAGAGGCUGGGAUGAGUCUGAAGGGAUGCUGAUCUGGGUGGUGGGGGACUGGGACUCCAUGGCAUACUGUCACAAAUCAAAAGAUAAGUCUAGUUACAGCCAUUCAGCCUUUGAUUUUCUCGCCUUCCUCCUAAACUAUUUUCCCAAGAACUUAUUUGUCUCAGUCUGCGUUUUCCUUAUCUGCAGACAGGGCUAUGAGGCAGACCAUACUACAAUGAAUAUGGGUACUCACUCCAUGCUGGGCUGUGGGAGAAAGUUUUGCACAGCUCUAGGAAAACAGGUGAACAGCUACAGGUUUGAAAAGCCUCCUAGCCUUCCCUGGACCUCAAAAGGCCCAGUGUAGGACUCCUCACCCAUCCUGAUUAUCUAUAAGUAGAUCAGACAGCAUCUCAUUUCCUAGACACAAACAUUCAGCGGUGUUCUGCAGUUGCUUCAAGAGUAAAGAAAAUUCCUCCUGGCUCCUACUGAGCAGUCACUGGCAUUGGUCAACCAUAGCACACCUUGUCUUUGCCAGAAGCCAGUAUCAGACAAUAUGAAAGGGAACUGCCCCCUCCUUCCUGUGUAUGUAAAUGUAUAACAGUUUACCACGGAAGAUGAUGCCUUUCUGACUCCAUCUACUGACUUGCUUUUACCAAGAACUACUGACACUAUUACAUAAUACUUGUUAGUAAAACUCUCACAGAUUUUUUCAAGGCCAGGAACAACCAUUAUUAUCAUCCAGUCUGAUCUUCUGCAUAAUAUAUGCUACUGAAUUUAACCCAAUCUGAACUUGGUGUGUAGAUUUGCUUUUAUGUCUCAAAAUGCCUCCUCAUUUACAAAUAUGAUACUGUUUCACCGAGUACUAUCUGUGCAGCAGCAAGUUCCAUUAAUUAACUGUACAUUGUUUGGAAAAGCAAUACCUCUUAUCCGUUUGAAAUUUGAUACCUCUUCGUUUCACCUUGCAGGAUAGGAAAGGGUUUUUAUUCCUUUGCUACUAAUUAGGUUGGAGGAUCAUGAGGACAAAAUGUUAUUUAUAUUAUAGUCGUGCUUAAGGAGAGCUCUGAUGAAGCCUGGGGAUCCCACUGCACAAAGUGAGGGAGACCGUGCAAUUCCUUCAGGACUGAGACUAUUUGAAUGGACGAAUGGCAUAUUUUCAAAGGAGCUGAAUGAUUUCACCAAAACGAAUGUCAGACAAGUCAAUGGAUUCAUACUUCUCAAUCACCUAUACAUUUCUAAAAAAUCAAUCCAAAGUUUGAAGGAAAGAAAGGCAUGGAAAAACAAAGUCCCUGAAGCCAAGAUCAAGAAAUAAGUUUGGUAUGCAGUCAGUGAAAAGAAAAACGUGUUGCUAAUAUGCAGCUCUGUGUCCACUGUCCAUAGGUCACUUUGGCUUCCAGAGGCUCAUGGUCUUAAAGUCCUCCCUUUAAGAGAGCAGGGUGCACUGGGCAAAGUACAAUGUCUGCUGCAUGCACAGUCCCCAGUUCUUUUGCCCUGGGGCCAAGGACAGCUACAUUAUCUCAGGCAACAGCGGUUAUCCAAGUUUAUGGAAAGGGUUCACGUAAGAUUUGCAGUCCCAUGAGGGUCAGUCUGCCUUGAGAGAUAGGCUGGGGUUUGUGUUCUUUCUCUCUUCUCAAGGAAAUUCCCCAUCCUUUUGACUUCUAUCAUUUUUUAUUGCCAUUCUCUGGACUUCUUCUAUUUCUACUUUCUUUUUUACAGGGAUGAGGUGACCAAAUUUGAAGACAGUAUUCAAAGUGAGGAUGUGCCACUGAUUUAUAUAAUGGCAUUAUAAUAUUUUCCAUAUUAUUCUCUAAAACUCUUUUCUUCAUACAAACCCCUUAAGAUUCUUUUUAAUUCUUUGAACUAUAGUGCCUUUUAACAUCUGUAGUUUACUCUGAUCAGAUUUUGACAAAGGAAUAAAAGGCUCCAUUUUUCACAUAGAAUUUUAUUUAUUGUUUGAACUUUAGAGGAGAAAUUGGUUAACUUACAAUUUAAAAUUCUUGGCAAUGUAGACCAUUGGACAAGGAUUUCAUUAUCAGCCCUUCUGUACUUUCUGUAGAAAUGCUUAAAGUUGGUGGACAGAGUCUUGGCUAAAAAGACUUUACUUUCGUACUAUAAACAUAGCCAAAGACUUAGUUUGGAGCUGCUAGCAUCCCCAAAGAUGUCAGAGAUAUCAUUGUUCUGUACCCCCUUCCUGAUGCAGUGUGCUGGGGCCAUGCAUUGACAUGUCAUCCAGCCAGAGUUGUGCGUGUGUGCAAGCGGUACCCAAAUGCCGUGAUCUUCUCUUUACCUUACCACGUACUUCCACAGUAGGUCAGGAAAAGACCCCUCUGAAAAUGAGGUGCUUGAUGACUGCAGAGGGUGAGAAUCUUGCUCUCAUGUCACAGCUGGGCGUGAUGCCUUCAUCAGGGUAUUAGAAAAGGCUCGAGGAAAACAGUUACAUCCAUUCUAUUGCUUAAGACACUUCCUGCAGCUACUGACUCGCCUUAGAGUUACCAAUCCAAAUGCUGACCCUGCCUGACCCUACUUAUCUUUUAAAAGCUGACAAGAUCACAGCCUGAAGCAGUAUAGCCACAGGCUCAAUACUGGCUACCAAAAUGUCUGUUUAGUAUUUUCAAAAACGCUGCUCUUAAGAUUUACAAUACAAGCUGCUGGAUGUAUGGACAACACUGAAACACAACCCUGACCCCUGAACAUUCAGCCCUACUUACACAGAAAUUUGUGCCUCUCGAGGGGCCAGCACUGAGUUGCUGCAAAACAGUUAUUCCCUACCUGCAAGUGAGCUGGAAUUAAAGCAUCAUAGGGUUGUAUGCAUUCAGAUACUGGGUAAAAAUAUUUGAAAACUACAGCCUUGAUUUCAGAAUUCAUUGACAACUUCUUUCAUUAGCUGCAUUACUGCUUUAACAGUAGAAAGAGUUCCGCCCUUUUUGUGUAAUAUCUUUUUUGGUUUAGUAUAGAAAAUCAUCCUAAUUCUUCUAUGACCAAAGCAGUUUUUCAUCAGAAGUUGUUUUUAGAUUAACUGUAAGUUUCUUCCCUAGCAGUAAAAGAAGCUCAUAUUUUUCUGAAUAUUUCUAAGGUUAAAUGGAUAAACACAGCUUUAAAUACUCAUGAAACACUAAGGGACCGAUCUAGUUGAGUUGUUUGUGCAUUCAUACAUGAUAUAAAUUCAUGGUUCUUGCAGGUUUUUUUUUUUUUUUUUUUUUUAACAGCAAAGAUAUGGAAAAGACAAUUGAGGUCUUAUUGCUCCUGUUGGAAACUUCUGCCGACUACAGCAAGAGUUGGACUGGGCCCAGAGAAACCAGAUACAUACAAGUUGCAAUGAGUUGGCCACACAAGCAAGGAAAAUCACAGAUAACGGAUGCACACAAAUUAGUAAUGUACCUUUUAGGUCAUCCAGUACAGCUUGCUGACACAUUGAGAUUGUCUCCUAUGGCAUAUUUUUGGUUGCUUUGGAUGACUGGAUUAAAUGUCCUAAGUAAUGCCAUUUACUUAAGGAGAGAUUGUGCUGCCCAGUAUAUCCUGUUAGAAGUCUUUUUUUCCUUUCUUAACAUCAUCAUAUUUCUCCCAGUUUUGUUCCUUUGCAAACCUCCUUAUUUCCCUUCUGCGAUGCUAUUUUUUCUCCAGUGUCUUUAGACUAAUGUGAUGUUCCAUUUAGUUAACAUUAAGUCAGUUCAUACCUAUUUAGAUCAUUUAAUCUUUUCUGAUAAAUCAGUCCUUUCAGUCUCCUGGUUAUUUUCUCAUCUCCUCUUGUCCCACUCCUGUCUGUCAGUAGCUUUUUUAGCUAUGAUAUUUUAAAGAUGUGGUGCAUUUAUCUGAACUAACGGCAGGUUGGGCACAGACUUGAGCACCCUCAAUACCUUCUCACUGAAAACCACUCAAGGGAAGGCCACUGGCACUCUGUGCAAACAAGCAGGCAGAGCAUUCUGUUCAAACCAUUUCCUUGGUAUCACCUGUUUUACUGAUCAUCAACAAAAAACAUUUAAACAUUUAGCCUAGUGAUUCAAAAACCAAACAUGGGUCACUAUAGAUUAAUUAUAUUUUUUCAUAAUGCUAGGAAAUAUAAUGGCAGAGAGGAAAAUACAUUUGUUGUUGAUAUUUUCAAACUCUUGGUCGUGGAUAUCACAAUCUAAAAUUAUGGAAGAUGUUGUCUUGUCUAGUAACUAUAUUUGGGUGCCACUGGAGUACACUGUAGAAAGUAAUUAUAUAUGUAGUCACAAGCGUAGCUGUUCACGUCAGGCAAUAAAUUCUGAUCAACAAACAACACUCCUUUAGCGCUAAAUGAAAUCUUGGCUGUAAUUGACUGUCUUUACCUUUGUGUUCUGUUGGAUUGGAGGAAUAUCAUUUUAAUCUGCUCUCUUUAAAUUUUCAUUAAGGAACGUUUCAGCUACCUGCAGCCUCGUCUGAUGAUGUUUAAUGAUAUAAACUAGCACGUUCUUCCGUGCACCGGCAGGGGCUUCUUUAAAUUGGUCAACCGUACAGAACAUUGUUUUCGUGUUUAAUGUACUUGGAAUCAACCUUUUAAAAUAAUGAUGUCUCUACAGACAGUUUAUAUACGUAGCACACACACAUAUGUGCAUGUGUAUGUAUGCAUAUAUACGCGUAAGUGCACACAUACAUAGAGAAACACUGAUCCUAUUCACCUUCUUGAAAACAUUUCAGCUAGUAUUAGCAUAAAUGUGCUGUUAAGUUGGCAGUGUUAUACAUUUUUGUUGGAGUUUACUUCUGUAACCUAAAAUCAAGCAGAUAAGCUGUGAAACUCAUGCAGCUGAUGACAUAACGCUGGGAUCUCAUGAUGCUGAAUCUCAUAUUUCUAGGCAUAAAGGAUGGAUGUUCCUUUCUGGAAUUAUUAUGCUGCCUAUUGCAAUAUAUGUUUUCUUGUUUUCAUGUGGGCACUGAGAUGUUCAAACCAUUAAAUGUAUAUGGUAUAAUGAGUCCUGUGUUCCUUAUUUAUUCUAAAGAAGGCAUUAACUUUCUAUGGUUGUUUUAUUGUAUGAUAAUAAAGCCAACUACUUUAAGAAUCUGUGAUGAACAUAGCAAUAAGCUGUGACAAUAUGCAUAGUUACAUUUAAUGCCGAUGUCCAAAUGUACAUAUGUGCAUAUAAAUAAGCAUAUAUGUAUAUUCAAGCACUCAAAGAUAGGUACACACACAAAUUAAAUACAGUCAAUUAGGAUGUGACAUAAGCAGAUUCAAAGCUUACCUGUUACGGCUUUGUAAAGGGGGAAAUCCGAACCACAAAGACACACAUGAAAGUAAAGCUCUAUAUACUCCAUUGGCUCGUUACCAUUAUGCUCAACAGUGACAGGCUGUAUGCUAAGACGGGGUACCAGCAGACAUUCGCCAUGACAGCUGGUUCAAAACAGAGCUUUCAAAAUAGUGCAACACCCCUCACUUCCUUCCAAAUCCUGGUGUUUGCCAGCAGCACUUAGCUGAGGCUGGCUCUUAAGGUCAGAUGUUCAGAUAUAAGUUGUCUGAAAUGAAUCUGCUUCUUUGUUUUUGGACCGUGUAUAUGUUCAGCAUAGCAUCUAGGCUCUUCAUGAAUUUGUGUUUGAGUUCACACGUGAGUAGUGCUUGCCUAUUACCUGAAAAAAUGAUGGAUGUUUUUCCCCGACACCAUGCUCUAUUUGCCUGAGAUUGUCCUCUAUCAAAUUCUCCUUUCUUUUGUGGGUUACAUAAAAUGAGAGCCAUACACAGGCUUCUUGUUUUCACUGAAAAAAAUAAAAAAGCACAGCCCCUCUGUUGAGAAAUAGAAGCAAAACGGUUUCUCUUUAACAUCACCCACAUCACACGCACUGCUCAGCCAAUUAGGGACAGAGCAUAAAAAAUACUUAGUUUAUCCUGUGUGACUUUUCCCAGUAGAUACAUAUAGAAUCUGGAAAUAAACACACUCCUCCUUUGGAAGGAAACGCAAACAGGGUUUAUCUAUUUGCAUUUGAACUCAGUGAAAAAUAACCAGGCACAAAAAGCAAGCUUGAAGAUAAGACACCAGUAUACAUAAAGCUAAAUUUUAGCAAGCUAAAUUCUGCUAUGCUGUUAUAAUUGCUACGCAAAACACGAGCUAAUUCAUUGUUCCAUUGUGCUGGUGAAAUAGGUAUGCGUUACAUGUGGGGCAGGUAGGGGAGCUUACACAGGGAUGCUGUUGACUUUGCUGAGCAGCCAGUGUGUGGGGAGCAUGCCAUCAACAACCUUGUGAAAAUGAGGCUGGUGAACCAGCUUGGUCUCGGAAAUGACUUUAGAGUGGGUAGAAUAAUAUUUAAAAACUAUGAUGAAUUAUAGCUGCAGCACACGAAUACUAAGUGUGUGCAGUUUAUCAUUUACCAUAUCACCUGGGGACCCCAAGACCUGAGUGUCAGAUCUUCAGAGGAAUUCAGAUGGCUAAACGUGCUGCUGCCUGGGGAUCUUCAGUGCUGCCCAGACACAUCCCUCCUAAUGCAAUCAAGGAGAUCCAGGUAUCAGGGCUCUUCAGAAAAGCAUUGAUCAGUCUCUUGGGCAGCUCCACUCCGUUCCUGGAGUAUUGACCCUGCUUCAGCUGGAAGUGCCUCUGGGGAGGUGCUGAGGUGAAUGGGAUGAGGCUGUGCACAUUUCUGGAGGAGGUAGGGCUCUCCUGCAAGCCAGAGGCAUGAGCAGGGCUGCUUCCCUGCAGCAGGCCCGCUGGGCUUUCUGAUGCUCAGCUCACCAGCUCCGGUGGUACACGAGCAGCGUGCGUACACACUGUGGCUGGCGAUGCCCCUGUUUGACAUCAGCCUUCCCUCCUGGAUCCGGGCCGCUGCUGAUUGCUGAGGGGUGGCCAGGAGCAGCUCCCUCUGGUGAACCUCUUUUGUGCUUUUAUCUCCCUCCUCUUGGCAGUGAGCUGGCACUGGAUGCCAGCCACGGCCCGCUCACCCUCCCCAGUGCCCAGCCGGAAUGCUCAGCCAGUGCCUACUUCUCUUCCAGCAGCUGGCCCUACUUCUCCUCCACAGCUGGCUGCUGCCCCCUACUGUGGUAAUUAUUAUUUAUGAUGGAUAUUCAGUGUACAUUAUGUGUCCAGAGUCCAGUGCCAUCUGAGUCAGUACCAGAGUCCUACUGAGUGGGCAGAAGCACACAGCAAUGCGCUGUUGUUCCACACAUACACUCACCAGGCUCUCACACAGGGAUAGACUGAGGGGGAGGGAGUGAAGGUGGCUGUUGGCACCUAUUAGCAUGAUCUGAUGCGACACGUACUCUGUGUCCUGUGUUACAUGACUCUGACGACAGCACAGCUGAGUGCAGAACUGCUUUUCUUCACCUUGCUAUCAAUAGCAGGUCUCUUGCAAUUCAUGCUAUCGAAUGGGAAACACGCAAGGUGUUUGCCAAAAGACAUGGUUGCUGCUCAGCCUCUGCUUAACUCCCUUUUGCUUUGAAGGUAGAUAUCGCUUGGUGCUCAGCUGCUGUUGAGAAGUGACGACCAUAGACCUCAGCAUGGCUUCAUUGGGCAUUACUCCGUUUCCUGUUUCUCUCCCCAACUGUCUUUUCCAGGAGUGCCUGAUUGUGCUGGUCCCUUGUUGCAUGUGUCUAUCAUCUCCCUCUUGCCCUUCACCCUUCCUUCUCACACUGCCUCCUUGAACCCAUUACCCUCAGGCAAAUACAGCAGAGCUUUAACUUCCAUAUCUUAGUAUAAAGGCAAAAGCACCUGAAAGAAGCAGCAUCCUCCAUGCAUUCAGAAAAAUACAGAAUCUUAAACAUGCUUCAAACACACAUGUAAUGUAUGCGAGCCAGCUUCUCAGCUAUAGUGGUUAGGUUUAUCUGUUAAAGAUGAUGGAACAAUACUGUUUCACGGCAGCUAAGGAUCUGUCCCAGUAUGUAAAUGUAAAUAUCUAUUUUUACAAGCCCUCCUACAGUUUGCUUUAAAAGAAACCUUUCUUUUUAGACACUGAAAGCAUACAAGCCAGUCAGAAAUGUCCCACUUUCUAUAUUUUGUUUAAUUCCUACCUCUGACUUCCUUUGAAAUCUAAUGAAUUCAAAAAAGACAGAGUGAAUUAAAAGUGAAGUAGCUUUGCCUUUGGUGCACAGGGCCUGUAGGAACUGAAAAAAAAAGAAAAAAACAGGAAAGAAAUGAAAUGGGUAUGAAGCCACAUCAAUCCAAAUAAUUUUAAAUGUUUGAUGGUAAGCAAGCUGACCAAACCUAGCAAAAUUCCCACUGUCCUUUUGCUUGUGACUUCUAUCCUUUCAACUAGCUGUGGCAAAUUAAUGUUGAGAGCAAAUACUCAUGCAUUCAGUCUGUAUCAGGGCACUUUCUGCCAUGAUUCUCUUUUUAAAUUGUUUUGAGUUUUAUGUCUAAUUGCUUCCUUUGUGUUUUAUGCACAAAGAUGCCUGCAUCCCAUAUUUCAUAUGUAUCGAGCUAUAGUUCUUGGAUAGGGUGUAUUCAAACCUCAGAACUCUUCAAGUUUGAUUCCAGGAACUGAUUUGUCCUUUUUUUAAAGAUAGGAACCACAUGUGCAACCUGGAUCCAGAUCUAGGGUAGGGUCUGGAUACGUUACUUUAAAUGCACUAGGAUGAGGGGUCCAAACUUGUUUAUUUGUAAUGAAAUUAGUUCUAAUACCUACUGCUGGAUGCUCAACUUUCCCCUCACUAUGAAGAGAAAUGUUCACAUAUUUACUUCUGGUCUUAUUUAUAAUUCAUUGCAGAAUCACACUGUCUUCAGGAUAUUUUUCUCAGUUUGGUUUGUUACCAUCCUCUUUAGCAAUUGCUUAUAACUAAUUGGAUCGCUUGCACAUGGCCACACUCCUCUGAUAAGUCCCUGUUAUCCCACUCGUCCUCUGAAGGCUGCUCUGCUGGCUCCUCGAGGCACUCCAGUAAAACAGCGAGGUACUUGUCCCUUAGUACCAACCUAAAGCCAUUUAACAGACUGAGGGGCACCCUCAUGGGUUUCUUCUGUCCAAUGUACUCUCUUUAGCUACUGUUCAGAACCGGUUUCUUGGGCUCCCUAAAACUCGUAAACUUCAAAGCUCUGCAAUUCCCAGGAUUUUCCUCAUCUCCUUUUGAAGACAGGCAACAUAAUAGGGCUUCCCAGCCUUCUAGUGCUGCUGCGUUUUUCAAGGGAAGAAGGCAUCCCCUUGUCAGUAUCUUGGCUUUUUCUCACUUUAUUUCCCCUCAGAACUCCCAGAUGAACACCAUCCGGUUGUGGUGAUUUACUGCAUUUGAGUUUCUCAAGUUACGCUACAACUUCCUCCUCAGAGACUUCAAUCUGUAUAAAGGCCACACUCUGAUUUUCUUUGCAAAGUGCCUUUGGCACAGGAAUUUCUGCGCGACUCUCGGCAGCAGACAUGAUGCGAGGGAUUUAUUUAACUUCUCUGUUAGCUUGUUGCACUUAUCUCCUGACCCACUUUAUAUGGAUUCGUGAGGAUCUGUGGGGUGUUUUGGUGCAUAGCCCAACAUAAGAUUUAUAUUCACUUACAGGUGAGGCCCAGCCCUCACCUGGUGUUCUCUUGCUGUUCCACCAAAGGAUAUUUCUGCACAUUACUGCAGCCACUCUCCUUUCUUCCCACUCCUUUUCUGUUUUAAGAAAGAUAGAAGCUGCCAUACGGCCCAGCCAAUCUUCAGUGAUUAUGAAGGACAGAACUAGAACAUUAGAAAUGGUGCAAAAAUAUUCUCCAUGUCCUCUGGUCACUGUAGGCUGGUUUAAACUCCAGAUAUAUAUACUUGAUUUGAGAUAUAUGACAAACAAUGUUGCCCUUUGGUAUGAGAUGGAUAUAGAAUGGACAUCAGCU
ensembl:lncRNA